GCUCUCUCUCCACCCAGAUCUCUGGCCAGUGAUGUGCUUCCUUCUCAGCUUGAAUGGGGAUGGCUGAGGGUCCCCUGUGUCUUACCCAGGGACAUGUUCAGGCAUGAGCCAGGCUAGAUGAGUUGUAUCUGUGUUAUGGUCAGAUUUACUGUGUCCAGCCCAGGUCAGCUGUACUGUGACAGCCCACCAACAAAGCUGGCUGCUUCUCUCCUGCAGCAUCAUCAGCACUGAGAGGUGGAGGGUUACCUCUACACAUCCAUGCUGGCAAGCGUCUCUUCCUCAGCAAGAAUGCACAAGGACCUCACUGCAUGAAGGAGAUGGGCAAGCAGGGGAAGCAGUUCUUCAGUUUCUUUGCUUCUUUGAAAUGGAGAGAAAUGAGUUUGGAAGGAUGCAGAUGAAAACAGUCCAUGGAAAGAAAUUUUCAAUGAGGUCACUGCCAUUUCAUCAGAUGAGGAGGAGCUUAAGAACAAUGGUUCAGGCUUGCAAUGAAUGCAGAUUUCUGACAAAAGUGUUGGAUUGA
rnacentral:lncRNA from 1 species